rnacentral:misc_RNA from 1 species
GCUUGGUAAGAAAUGCAAAGACUACAGAUAUGGGCUUUAAACAUAUCUAUUUUUGAUAUUGUAAUUCAUAUUAGAGAAGAUAUUGCACACUAAAAGCUCCAGGAAGCCCUCAUUAGGAAACCCUGCUGAUGAAGAAUAUCCCACUUUUGGUCCAAUCCAUUAGUAGCUAGGUCCACUUUGCAGUGUAAUUAGCAUAAGGCAGUUCUAAUGAUGAGAAGUUAUUCUUGUAAUUAUGAGUUUUCCUGUCAUUGUUUUAAAUAACAGCCAUUAUGUUAUACAACAGCCAUUAUUUAUAGGUUUUUAGCCCACCCAAUACUGCAAAAGCAGUUAUUUGAAGGCAAUAUAUAUAUAUAUAUAUUUCCUGUAACAGCCAUUAUUUACCGUUAAAUAGUGAUAACGGUCCAUUUCCUCACUUAUUUUUUUAAGCCAGAUGGAGGCAGCAGCUCUUCAU